GCUCUCAGAGUUCAGACACAGCACUGUCCGGCAUAGAGCUCUCAGGUGUGUUCCAGCCGCUGCAGCCUCAGCCAGACAUCGACUCUUCCUCUUCAUCAUCUGCAAAUGCAGUGCGAGUUGAUCCGAGCGCUGGAGCACAGGACUGGAGCGAGGCGAUGAACCGGAUCCUCCAGCACCUCUCUGAUCAGUUAUCCAUCAGACGGAGUGAGCAGGAAGCUCGU